rnacentral:rRNA from 1 species
AGUGAACGCUGGCGAUAGGCCUAACACAUGCAAGUCGAACGGCAGCACAGUAAGAGCUUGCUCUUACGGGUGGCGAGUGGCGGACGGGUGAGGAAUACAUCGGAAUCUACUUUUUCGCGGGGGAUAACGUAGGGAAACUUACGCUAAUACCGCAUACGACCUACGGGUGAAAGCAGGGGAUCUUCGGACCUUGCGCGAUUGAAUGAGCCGAUGUCGGAUUAGCUAGUUGGCGGGGUAAAGGCCCACCAAGGCGACGAUCCGUAGCUGGUCUGAGAGGAUGAUCAGCCACACUGGAACUGAGACACGGUCCAGACUCCUACGGGAGGCAGCAGUGGGGAAUAUUGGACAAUGGGCGCAAGCCUGAUCCAGCCAUACCGCGUGGGUGAAGAAGGCCUUCGGGUUGUAAAGCCCUUUUGUUGGGAAAGAAAAGCAGCAGGUUAAUACCCCGCUGUUCUGACGGUACCCAAAGAAUAAGCACCGGCUAACUUCGUG